AUUGCUUCUCGGCCUUUUGGCUAAGAUUAAGUGUAGUAUCUGUUCUUAUCAGUUUAAUAUCUGAUACGUCCUCUAUCCAAGGACAAUAUAUUAAAUGGGUUUUUGGAGCUGGGAGUUGGAAUAGGAGCUUGCUCCAUCCACUCCAUGCAUCAACCUGGUAUUGCAGUACCUCCAGGAACGGUGCACACCUU
ensembl:snRNA U2 U2 spliceosomal RNA